rnacentral:snoRNA from 1 species
AUCCCAUGAUGAGGACACUUACGAAGUAAUUCCUUGAAUCGCUCCCAAGCCUCAUACAAAGACUCGUCAUCCAAUUGUUGGGAAGUUGUGAUCUUGAUCCUCAACUU